UGUGGAUGUCCUUUCUGUUUGUUAGUUUUCCUUCUAACAGACAGGACCCUCAGCUGCAGGUCUGUUGGAGUGCCUGGCUGUGUGAGGUGUCAGUCUGCCCCUGCUGGGCGGUGCCUCCCUGUUAGGCUGCUUGGGGGUCAGGGGUCAGGGACCCACUUGAGGAGGCAGUCUGCCCAUUCUCACAUCUCCAGCUGCGUGCUGGGAGAACCACUGCUCUCUUCAAAGCUGUCAGACAGGGACAUUUAAGUCUGCAGCGGUUACUGCUGUCUUUUUGUUUGUCUGUGCCCUGCCCCCAGAGGCGGAGCCUACAGAGGCAAGCAGGCCUCCUUGAGCUGUGGUGGGCUCCACCCAGUUCGAGCUUCCCGGCUGCUUUGUUUACCUAAGCUAGCCUGGGCAAUGGCGGGCGCCCCUCCCCCAGCUUCUCUGCGGCCUUGCAGUUUGAUCUCAGACUGCUGUGCUAGCAAUCAGCGAGACUCCGCGGGCGUAGGACCCUCCGAGCCAGUGCUUCAGAGGUACAGUCCUUUUCCAAGAACCACCGCCAUGCCAUUGCCACUGGUACCUCUCCUCACUCAACUCCUCUCCUGGUGGUGCUUUGAAGAUGGCUGGAACUCUAGUCUUUACUCAGCUACUAAAGUUGGCUGUCUUCCAGCAGCCUUCCCAACUCCUGCUGAAAGAAGGAAAAAGGUAGAAAGGAACAUGUGAGAUGGUAGAGAGACGUGCACUGUUCAAUGUAACUCCACAUCUUCAGCAAAUCCUGUUAAACUAAAAAAAAAUGAUGCUGACUUCUAAGUCCAGGUGAAUGCACGACAGAGACAACACAUGCAGAUUCAGGAGCCAUUGGCGGGGAAUACCAGGAGAAUAACUCCUGGAAAUGCACAAAAAUCAUAAGGAGGGCUUUGGAUUUCAAGGCUUUGGAAUUGGAAGUUUUGCAUCAAGUUUACAUGUAUCUCCAGGACAGCUGAUAUUGGAUACUCAUUUAAAAGAAGACUUUUCAGUACCCAGUUGGAAAUAAAGCUUUAGAAUCCAAGUAUCCCUGAGGGAGAUGACUCUGGCAAAAAUGCACACUGAGGUAUAAAGAACUCAUGCCAUUCAAAAGCCUUAUUCAAAAGUACAUGUGGGAGGGCAGCAGGAAUCUGAAGUAGAAGAGGAGAAGAGAUGCUGGUAUGGGAAGGGAGGUGGUGAGAAGGAAGGCAUAUCUGCAACUGGGCCAAUUAAAAUGUGCAGCAUGUACAGGAGGUGGGAGAAUAAUCAAAUGAAUAACAAGUAUUAACUUUUCUGUAUUGCUAAGUUGUAAACUUAAAGGAGACAUUUUAAAAGGAUCUUAAAUUCUGUUCCUCAAUCUCAGUGACAUGAGAUAAUAUGCAUAUUGCUACAUCUUUUCUUUUUAAUGACCUAUAAAAGCAAUCAGGUGUGAGAACUUGAAAUUUUGUGAUCUGUUACAGUAUGCGCGUUAUGAAGCUCACACUCAUUUUCACUUUUAAGUGUCUCUGUUGUUUCUUUAGUUUUCAUUUUUAACAUUGUACCCAUAAAAAAUAACAUAUGUUGUUGUAAAAUGCUUUUAUUUUCUCUUCAGGUUCAUUAAAUUACUUCCAAAAAAAUGAUUUCUUAGUUAAAUUGUUUGACCUUUUCUGUUCUUGACAUUGGAUACAUAUGGCCCUCCACCAUCUCACUGCUCCCGAAGAUAAGAACC
rnacentral:lncRNA from 1 species